CCUACGGGUGGCAGCAGUCGGGAAUAUUGCGCAAUGGAGGAAACUCUGACGCAGUGACGCCGCGUGCAGGAAGAAGGUUUUCGGAUUGUAAACUGCUUUAGACAGGGAAGAAAAAAGACAGUACCUGUAGAAUAAGCUCCGGCUAACUACGUGCCAGCAGCCGCGGUUAUACGUAGGGGGCAAGCGUUAUCAGGAUUUAUUGGGUGUAAAGGGAGCGUAGACGGCAGGGAAAGUCUGGAGUGAAAGGCGGGGGCUCAACCCCCGGACUGCUCUGGAAACUGCCAGGCUGGAGUGCAGGAAGGGUAAGUGGAAUUCCUAGUGUAGCGGUGAAAUGCGUAGAUAUUAGGAGGAACACCAGUGGCGAAGGCGGCUUACUGGACUGUAACUGACGUUGAGGCUCGAAAGCGUGGGGAGCAAACAGGAUUAGAUACCCCAGUAGUC
rnacentral:rRNA from 1 species